GGGCGGUUAGCUCAGCUGGUUAGAGUACCUGCUCGACACGCAGGGGGUCACUGGUUCGAUUCCAGUACCGCCCA
rnacentral:tRNA from 1 species